CAGCCGCCACGGUAAUACGUAGGUGGCAAGCGUUGUCCGGAAUUAUUGGGCGUAAAGGGCUCGCAGGCGGUUUCUUAAGUCUGAUGUGAAAGCCCCCGGCUCAACCGGGGAGGGUCAUUGGAAACUGGGAAACUUGAGUGCAGAAGAGGAGAGUGGAAUUCCACGUGUAGCGGUGAAAUGCGUAGGGAUGUGGAGGAACACCAGUGGCGAAGGCGGCUCUCUGGACCGAUACUGACGCUGAGGCGCGAAAGCGUGGGGAGCAAACAGGAUUAGAUACCCCUGUAGUCCCUGUCUCUUAUAC
rnacentral:rRNA from 1 species